rnacentral:rRNA from 1 species
CCUACGGGAGGCAGCAGUGGGGAAUAUUGGACAAUGGGGGGAACCCUGAUCCAGCGACGCCGCGUGAGUGAAGAAGUAUUUCGGUAUGUAAAGCUCUAUCAGCAGGGAAGAAAAUGACGGUACCUGACUAAGAAGCCCCGGCUAACUACGUGCCAGCAGCCGCGGUAAUACGUAGGGGGCAAGCGUUAUCCGGAUUUACUGGGUGUAAAGGGAGCGUAGACGGCAGCACAAGUCUGGAGUGAAAUGCCGGGGCUUAACCCCGGAACUGCUUUGGAAACUGUGCAGCUAGAGGGCAGGAGAGGUAAGGGGAAUUCCUGGUGUAGCGGUGAAAUGCGUAGAUAUUAGGAGGAACACCAGUGGCGAAGGCGGCUUACUGGACUGUAACUGACGUUGAGGCUCGAAAGCGUGGGGAGCAAACAGGAUUAGAUACCCGAGUAGUC